AUUGAACGCUGGCGGCAGGCCUAACACAUGCAAGUCGAGCGAGCGGCGGACGGGUGAGGAAUGUAUGGGGACUGCCCGAUAGAGGGGGAUAACUACUGGAAACGGUAGCUAAUACCGCAUACUAUCGGAUUACCGAUGUGGGAUUAGCUAGUAGUGGGGGUAAUGGCUCACCAAGGCAACGAUCCGUAGCUGGGUUGAGAGGACGAUCAGCCACACUGGGACUGAGACACGGCCCAGACUCCUACGGAGGCAGCAGUGGGGAAUCUUGGACAAUGGGGGAAACCCUGAUCCAGCCAUCCCGCGUGUAUGAUGAAGGCCUUCGGGUUGUAAAGUACUUUUGGCAGAGAAGCGGUAUCUGCAGAAUAAGCACCGGCUAACUACGUGCCAGCAGCCGCGGUAAUAC
rnacentral:rRNA from 1 species